CAGCUCUCCGAGUGGUAGGGAUGAUUAUUGGGCUUAAAGCGUCCGUAGCCGGCUUAGCAAGUCUCCUGUUAAAUUCAGCGACCUAAUCGUUGAGCCGCGGGAGAUACUACUAGGCUAGGAGGCGGGAGAGGUCGACGGUACUUCUGGGGUAGGGGUGAAAUCCUAUAAUCCCAGGAGGACCACCAGUGGCGAAGGCUGUCGACUAGAACGCGCUCGACGGUGAGGGACGAAAGCUGGGGGAGCAAACCGGAUUAGAUACCCGCGUAGUCC
rnacentral:rRNA from 1 species